UAGAAAUAAGAUGAGUUGAAAUACCAAAAGAAACAUGUUGUUCCGAGACAGUGUAAACUUAAACUAGAAACAUACCAGUCAAGAGUUAGAAUAGAACAGCAAGGUGCAGAGAGGUAGAGCAAUAGGAUAAUAGUAUGCAGAACAGGAAAGAGAGCAGCAGGACAACAGUGUGUAGAUGCAAGAGAGCAACAUUAAUUACUCAGUCUUGGCUUUUAGCCGACUGAUUAAUCAGUAACUAAUACGAGAAGAAAAAGAGAAUAUGUAUGAGCGUAAGAGAAAGGGUUUUAGAACAAUGUUUUUUGUUCCUGUCCUUCGAUAUAUAUAGUUCGAAAAUAGGCAGAAGAGUAUGGUAACAAAUAAUAGCUCACCCAAAUUAUAGAAGUAAAUUAUAACUAGAAUCCAAUUAAUACAAAUACUCCCUUUAAUUAAGGAGUCAAUAUUCAAAGGGAUACAAACAGUGAUAGACAAGGAAAAAAAUCAAUUGAGGAGCUGAUUUUACCAUAUAAAGGGUAGUAAAAGUGUAGAGCAUGUAAUUGAGACUAAAUACAAAAUAUACCAAUUAAGGAAAGUGUAUAAGAAUUAAUUUGACAGCAUGUUUAUUCAUAGAAAUAAGGCAGGACGUAGUUUUAAUUUUGGAAAUCAGUAAGAGAACCCUUGAAUGAGGUUCCAAUCGCAGGGAAUUAGUAUCAAUUAAGGAAAAUAUCACACAAGUAAGGAAAUACUCAAAGUCAGUAGUUAGUAUUGCGUAAAAAUCAAUGGAGUACUAAUCACAAUCAUUCAAGGAUUCAAAGUGUCAAAAUAACGCAUUAGGAAAAAUCAGAAGCACAAAUUGGGGAUUCACGUAGGGCAUAGCAAGUAAUCGAAAGACUUAGCAGAAUACAAUAUGGUGCAAUCAACAGGACAAGAGCAAAACCCUAAUACUCAAAUUUAGCAAGGAUAGUAACAAUUAGAGAGAUCAGUAGGACAAGCACAACAUAAGUGAAAGAAAUAAAGAAUCAGCAGACUAAUAAGCAAACAACAGGGUAAAACCAUAGAGACUUAGGAAGCUCAUGAGAAUCAAAAGUAUCCACAAACAUAUCACCACAGACACACUCAGAAUAUAGAUUUAAAAUCGAGAACCUAGGGUUUUUAGUAAAAAUAAAUCAAACCAAAAGGGAAAAGGUUUAGAUAAUGAUAUACAUGAGGAGAAUCAUAUAAUAAGGCAAUACAUCAGAAAGAAAAGCUAUUUUGAAAAAAAAAGUUUCAAGAACCCUAGUUUCGAAAAGAAGAACAAAACAUUUAAACUUGAUCAAUCGUGAAGAUCUAGUAGAGAGUAGUGUAAAAAUAUAAAGGUAUGAGUUAAUAUUGUUAAAAAAAACACAAAGAUUUGAGAGGUUGGGUAGAUAUUAGGGUUGCGUGAGAAACCAAUGUGAGAUAAGAGAAACCUAGCUGUGAAACUCAGCAAUAAUGGUGUCCACAUCACCAUCGGACCAAACCCCAUCGGAGAAAGGUUGGAGACAAACCAAACCAAACCUUCAGUGACCAUCUCGUAUGGCGGAGGCUUCUGGGGUCUCAUCGAUAGAUGGGAUCAACGACGUAAGGAUUCACGGUGACUGGUGGUCGAAAGAGGUGAGGCUGGAGGUGGUCGGAGAGGUAGUGAGUUCAUCAGAGAAGAAGAGAGAACCAGAAGUUUCUAGAGAGACAGGAGAGCAAGCUUUAGAAU
rnacentral:lncRNA from 1 species